rnacentral:tRNA from 1 species
AGCAGGUGGCGCCACCGGGACGGCAAGCGGCCUUGAAAGCCGUGCUACUGGAAACGGUAAGGGUUCGAUUCCUUCACCUGCUGCCA